rnacentral:rRNA from 1 species
CAAAGGUUCUCUCAGUACGGUCGGAAAUCGUACGUAGAGUGUAAAGGCAAAAGAGAGCUUGAUUGCAAGACAUACAGGUCGAGCAAGGAUGAAAAUCGGACUUAGUGAUCCGGUGGUUCUGCGUGGAAGGGCCAUCGCUCAACGGAUAAAAGCUACCCUGGGGAUAACAGGCUUAUCUCCCCCAAGAGUCCACAUCGACGGGGAGGUUUGGCACCUCGAUGUCGGCCCAUCACAUCCUGGGGCUGUAGUAGGUCCCAAGGGUUGGGCUGUUCGCCCAUUAAAGUGGUACGCGAGCUGGGUUCAGACCGUCGUGGGACAGUUCGGGCCCUAUCCGUCCCAAGCGUAGGAAAUUUGAGAAGACCUGUCCUUAGUACGAGAGGACCGGGAUGGACGUACCUCUGGUGUACCAGUUGUCCUGCCAAGGGCAUGGCUGGGUAGCUAUGUACGGAAUGGAUAAG